rnacentral:snRNA from 1 species
AUCUUGGUGCAGUGGCAGUAUUGUAGCCAAUGAAGUUUAUCCAACACAUAAUUAUUGCUAAUUAAAAAAUAAUACAGCUUUUAAUAAAGAAUAUGAAAGAUAUUUUUAUGACCUUGGAGAGGC